GACGAACGCUGGCGGCGUGCUUAACACAUGCAAGUCGAACGGAAAGGCCCUGCUUUUGUGGUGUGCUCGAGGGGCGAACGGGUGAGUAACACGUGAGUAACCUGCCCUUGACUUUGGGAUAACUUCAGGAAACUGGGGCUAAUACCGGAUAGGAGCCCCUGCUGCAUGGUGGGGGGUGGAAAUUUUCGGCGGUUGGGGAUGGACUCGCGGCUUAUCAGCUUGUUGGUGGGGUAGUGGCUUACCAAGGCUUUGACGGGUAGCCGGCCUGAGAGGGUGACCGGCCACAUUGGGACUGAGAUACGGCCCAGACUCCUACGGGAGGCAGCAGUGGGGAAUAUUGCACAAUGGGCGGAAGCCUGAUGCAGCAACGCCGCGUGCGGGAUGACGGCCUUCGGGUUGUAAACCGCUUUCGCCUGUGACGAAGCGUGAGUGACGGUAAUGGGUAAAGAAGCACCGGCUAACUACGUG
rnacentral:rRNA from 1 species